rnacentral:rRNA from 1 species
GUGGUACUCGAGCGGCGAACGGGUGAGUAACACGUGAGUAAUCUGCCCUUCACUCUGGGAUAGCCCUCCGAAAGGGGGAUUAAUACCGGAUACGACACGUCCCUGCAUGGGGGUGUGUGGAAACUUUUUUGGGUGGGGGAUGUGCUCGCGGCCUAUCAGCUUGUUGGUGGGGUAAUGGCCUACCAAGGCUUUGACGGGUAGCCGGCCUGAGAGGGUGACCGGCCACACUGGGACUGAGACACGGCCCAGACUCCUACGGGAGGCAGCAGUGGGGAAUAUUGGACAAUGGGCGGAAGCCUGAUCCAGCAACGCCGCGUGAGGGAUGACGGCCUUCGGGUUGUAAACCUCUUUCAGCACCGACGAAGCGCAAGUGACGGUAGGUGCAGAAGAAGGACCGGCCAACUACGUGCCAGCAGCCGCGGUAAUACGUAGGGUCCGAGCGUUGUCCGGAAUUAUUGGGCGUAAAGGGCUCGUAGGCGGUUUGUCGCGUCGGGAGUGAAAACACCGGGCUUAACUCGGUGCUUGCUUUCGAUACGGGCAGACUGGAGGUAUGCAGGGGAGAACGGAAUUCCUGGUGUAGCGGUGAAAUGCGCAGAUAUCAGGAGGAACACCGGUGGCGAAGGCGGUUCUCUGGGCAUGACCUGACGCUGAGGAGCGAAAGUGUGGGGAGCGAACAGGAUUAGAUACCCUGGUAGUCCACACCGUAAACGUUGGGCGCUAGGUGUGGGAUCCAUUCCACGGGUUCCGUGCCGUAGCUAACGCAUUAAGCGCCCCGCCUGGGGAGUACGGCCGCAAGGCUAAAACUCAAAGGAAUU